GUGAUGAAUCGGCAAAGUUAAAUAAACGUCCACGCGGAUGUUUAUAUCAUAACAAUCAAACAGGCUAUGCACUCUGUGUGGCCUGCAUAAUCGUGCAACUAAGCACAACAGAAUAAACCAUACGCCACCGAGCGUUGGUCGGUUGCCACGAAAAGCAAAUUGAAUAAAUCAUUCUGGUUCCGAGCCCAACAGCUAACGGGUGUACACUUUACUCUGAAGAGAACUCCAAAAUUAGUACAUGGCUACCUAAGACAGGUUUUGCCUUCUCCGCAGCAAAAGUGUGAAAGUGAUACAGUUCGGUAAAGUGUAUUCCAAUCACAUUUGAACAAAUGGGUUGGUUUUCAAGUGACGAGAUCGUCACUACGAAUCAAAUGGGACCCAGUGAAGAACACCAUCAAACACAAGCGGUUGCGCUUUGCAUUUUAACAGUUAUCGCGGGUGCGUACGUGCUAAUAAAACUACUACUGAAGUUGCACAAAUCACACACGGAACGGCUGGCAGAAAGAGCCGCUCGACGAGCCGCUGCCCAUCCAAUCUAACAGUUAUAAGGAAGUGUCGAACUUUACUGUACUGUGUGGAGUAGUUGAAAUAAAUAAUAACAUUUUUAUUGGAAACAUUAAGUGCAAGUGACUAAGUAACUAUACAAUGACGGAACACAAGAUAAACAGUUUAGUGUUCACAUUGUGUUACACACAAAUCAGCAGCAGCAGCGAUCUCCAACGGAAUGCAAACGAACACCAGGAGUUCGAUUGUGGAACUUCGAGAUGACAUAGUGGACAUACUCAUGUGGAAAAUCGAACACUACUAGUGGCAGUGCAGACGAAGAAACAACAUAACAAACGGGUCAUCCGGCAACAUGGAGCCGACCCCAACAAGGGCGCAACAUGGAGCGACCCCAACGUAGCUUCGUCGUUGCUGCUGAGACUUGCAGAUGAUAUACUAGCGUGAGUGAUGAUUUAAUUUAAUAGUUAAAAAUAAAUAAGUACCGAAACAAUUUAGUUAAAAUGGUGUAUUCAAGUGGUGUUUGACAU